rnacentral:rRNA from 1 species
UACGUAGGGCGCAAGCGUUCUCCGGAAUUCUUGGGCGUAAAGAGCUCGUAGGCGGUUUGUCGCGUCUGCCGUGAAAGUCCGGGGCUCAACUCCGGAUCUGCGGUGGGUACGGGCAGACUAGAGUGAUGUAGGGGAGACUGGAAUUCCUGGUGUAGCGGUGAAAUGCGCAGAUAUCAGGAGGAACACCGAUGGCGAAGGCAGGUCUCUGGGCAUUAACUGACGCUGAGGAGCGAAAGCAUGGGGAGCGAACAGG